GCGACCCCAGGUCGGGGGGGAUUCCCCGCUGAUUU
rnacentral:rRNA from 1 species